rnacentral:rRNA from 1 species
GACUACUGGGGUAUCUAAGCCUGUUUGCUCCCCACGCUUUCGUGCCUCAGUGUCAGUUGUGGCCCAGCAAGCCGCCUUCGCCACCGGUGUUCCUCCAUAUAUUUACGCAUUUUACCGCUACACAUGGAAUUCCACUUGCCUCUACCACACUCAAGCCUCCCAGUUUCUUUAGCAUCACAGCGUUGAGCGCUGAACUUACACCAAAGACUUAAAUGGCCACCUACGCACCCUUUACGCCCAAUAAUUCCGGAUAACGCUUGCCCCCUAUGUAUUACCGCGGCUGCUGGCACAUAGUUAGCCGGGGCUUAUUCAAAAGGUACCGUCACGCCCGCUUUUCCACGGGCCAUUCUUCCCUCUUAAAAGAACUUUACAUACCGAAGUACUUCGUCGUUCACGCGGCGUUGCUCGGUCAGGGUUUCCCCCAUUGCCGAAAAUUCCCUACUGCAGCCCCCCGUAGG